CUGGUCAUGGCGACGCCGAGGAAGGAGACACGUGGCCUCUUCAGCCAGGCGGUGGAGGCUGUGCUGGGCACUUGGCCUGUAUUGCAGAUUGCAGUUGAAAAUGGCUUUGGAGGAGUCUACAGCCAAGAGAAAGCUGAAUGGAUGGUGGAGGCCGUGGAGCAGUACUUCCAAAGCAAUGCUGACCUGGAGCCAGAAGAGAUAGAAGAUGUCCUUGCAGAGUUGAUGAACAAUGAAUUUGACACAAUGGUAGAAGAUGGAAGCUUGGCCCAGGUAAGCCAGCAACUGUGCCAGUUCUUCACUCAGUGCCAGCAGGGAAACAGUGCAGCAGUGCAUGAAGCCAUUGUCCGGCUGGCCCAGAAGCAGCAUGGUGCUCGGCUGGCAGCAGCAAAAUCACAGCCAGCCGAAGAAAGCAGCAGUGACGAGGAGACGACGACUGAGGAAGAGGCCAUGGACUGCAAUGCCACCCCCAGCACAAAUGAAUCACAAUGCAGCCUUCCACCACCUCCAUCGGAUGCAGAGGCAGAAGGUGGUUGGACCUUGGUGAAGAAAAAAAAGAAAUGAAGGCAAGAGUGGAAGACCAUGAGUAUAGAUAGAUCAAAAGAAGGAAAAACGAGAAAAAACUACGCAGAACAAUGAACUGGGAGCAAGGAGAAGAAACUGGGAAAAUAGAAGGACAAUCAAGAGCAAGGGUGCAGUAUCUUGUUCCCUAAGUCUCUAGGGAAAAAAUAUAGCAAGAAGCACAAGGACAAAGAAAGUUGCUUUUCUAUAUGAGAAGCUGCAAGGAAGAGGCUGAAAGCAGGAACUGCUCCAAACAACGCAUUUCAGAAGGUGUCUCAAUGCCAGCAGGAUGUGAUGUGCAGAGGAGUAUCACUCUUACCUCCAGAAUGGACCUUCGGCGCUGAGGUGUAUUAGGGUGUGGGACGGGGCUGGCAGGCGAGCCCUGUAGCAUUGUAUAGCAGUCAGUGCAGACACGGUUGGGCCGGUUAUUGUCAUAUACCAGGCGGGCCCGGAACUCAGAACAUUUUCCGCAGACAACCUGCAGCAAGCAAGUGGGCAGUCAGUGGUCACUUUAUACACACAAAAUACAAAAAGCAGUCCUUUAUACACACAGAAGAAUCAAUUGCUAAAAAACUUUCACUGGACUGGAUCACAUCAGCAUUCCAGGAGAUUAGUGGGCUGUCACACACUGAAAAAUCUGCAGGCCCCAAAAGAACCAUUCAGCUUUGCCUUCACCCAGCUGAUAUCACUUUUCUAUCUGCAGGCCCCUUGCUCCUGCAUACCCUCCAGCUGAGAAAUAGCACAAAACACAACAAACUCUAGCUACAUCUGCUGUAGACCCAUUAAAGAGAAGAACUUUAUUAUUUGGUUUUACCAAAGGUUUAUAUUGGUUAAGACUGUGCUGGCUCAAGGUUAUCAGGAUCUUUGAACAUGGUGGUCUCAGUGGUCAGGAUUUCUGGAAUACAACCCCUAGUAGUUCUGAUCAUUGGCCAUGCUAGCUUGGGUGGAUAAAAUCUAGAUGGAACCAGGCUGGGGUAGGUUGCUUCAGGAUAAGGAAGUGGGUAGUUUUGGACCAAAGUUAACCUGCAGGAAGGACUGGUUUAUUCACAAAGAAAAGGUGUGUCUUGCCCACUCUCCAAAGGGGAGGGGGGUGGAACAAACCAGCAGGAGAGGUGAUAUAAAGUGGGAAAGGCAUCGU